AGAGUUUGAUUAGGGCUCAGAUUGAACGCUGGCGGCAGGCCUAACACAUGCAAGUCGAGCGGCAGCGGGAAGUAGCUUGCUACUUUGCCGGCGAGCGGCGGACGGGUGAGUAAUGUCUGGGAAACUGCCUGAUGGAGGGGGAUAACUACUGGAAACGGUAGCUAAUACCGCAUGACCUCGCAAGAGCAAAGUGGGGGACCUUCGGGCCUCACGCCAUCGGAUGUGCCCAGAUGGGAUUAGCUAGUAGGUGAGGUAAUGGCUCACCUAGGCGACGAUCCCUAGCUGGUCUGAGAGGAUGACCAGCCACACUGGAACUGAGACACGGUCCAGACUCCUACGGGAGGCAGCAGUGGGGAAUAUUGCACAAUAGGGGAAACCCUGAUGCAGCCAUGCCGCGUGUGUGAAGAAGGCCUUCGGGUUGUAAAGCACUUUCAGCGGGGAGGAAGGCAAUGGCGUUAAUAGUGUCAUUGAUUGACGUUACCCGCAGAAGAAGCACCGGCUAACUCCGUGCCAGCAGCCGCGGUAAUACGGAGGGUGCGAGCGUUAAUCGGAAUUACUGGGCGUAAAGCGUACGCAGGCGGUCUGUUAAGUCAGAUGUGAAAUCCCCGGGCUUAACCUGGGAACUGCAUUUGAAACUGGCAGGCUAGAGUAUGGGAGAGGAUGGUAGAAUUCCAGGUGUAGCGGUGAAAUGCGUAGAGAUCUGGAGGAAUACCGAUGGCGAAGGCAGCCAUCUGGCCUAAUACUGACGCUGAGGUACGAAAGCAUGGGGAGCAAACAGGAUUAGAUACCCUGGUAGUCCAUGCCGUAAACGAUGUCUACUAGCCGUUGGGGCCUUUGAGGCUUUAGUGGCGCAGCUAACGCGAUAAGUAGACCGCCUGGGGAGUACGGUCGCAAGACUAAAACUCAAAUGAAUUGACGGGGGCCCGCACAAGUGGUG
rnacentral:rRNA from 1 species